AUGCUGUUCUACAAGGACAAAUUACUGUCGCCCGGUCAGCUCAAGCGGCUCAGCGAGCACAAAUACAGCUGCACGAGCAAUAGCCUCCUCGACGGCUUCUUGCAGCCAUGGUGGGACUGGCUGGUCAGCAAGGUGCCGCUCUGGUUAGCGCCCAAUCUCAUCACCGUCCUCGGCCUGAUCGUUAACAUCGUCACUACCUUGAUUCUCGUCUAUUAUAGUCCGGAUGCAAGAGUCGAGGCACCAAGAUGGGCAUGUUUUUUGUGUGCACUUGGCCUGUUUAUAUAUCAGAGUUUAGAUGCUAUUGAUGGUAAACAGGCCAGGAGAACUGGCACAUCCACACCGCUUGGUGAGUUGUUUGAUCAUGGAUGCGAUUCGAUAUCGACAGUGUUUGUUGCUUUGUCGGCGUGUAUAGCUGUACAAUUAGGAUACUACCCAACGUGGAUGUUUUUCCAGUGUUUCUGCGCAAUGACACUUUUCUAUUGCGCUCAUUGGCAGACCUACGUUUCAGGUUCUUUAAGAUUUGGUAAAGUGGAUGUGACAGAAGCACAGUUUACGAUAAUAGCUAUUCAUCUGAUUUCUGCAAUCUUUGGUCCACAAAUCUGGAUGAUGGAGAUACCAUUCUUAGAUGGUUUUAUGUUUAAGUAUUUAUUAGGAGUUAUGACAGUGGUGUGCGCACUGGCAAAUUUGUAUUCCAUAUUUUCGGUGAUUUUCACCGGAGGAGUGGGCAAGAAUGGUUCCACUGUGGCUAUCCCCGUGCUCGGUGUAGGCACGUUGAGUAACUACAUAGCAAUGGUCUUUUAUGCAGGCUACAUUCACGUGUUCCUUGAAUUCUGUAAAGUCUUUGAAUCUGGUGGGAUUGGAAAAAACGGUUCCACAAUUGCAUUGCCAUACACUGGCAUAGAGGUGAAGGUGUUUCCGUUAUGGGCUGCUGUGGGCAUCGCUAUUUUACUUGCACAGAGCAGCAUAUCCGUCAUUCUCGCCGGUGGUGUCGGAAAAAAUGGCUCCACCGUCGCAGGAACGUCCGUUUUAUCUCCAAUUAUACCAUUUAGCUUUGUGGUAGUACCAGCUUUUAUAAUAUAUAGAAAAAGUGCUGAACACGUCUACGAAAAUCAUCCAGCCUUGUAUAUACUUUCGUUUGGAAUGGUGGCAGCCAAAGUUACGAAUAGACUGGUGGUUGCUCAUAUGACUAAAAAUGAAAUGCAAUACUUGGACAGUUCGCUAAUUGGUCCAGCUAUGCUGUUUCUCAAUCAAUAUUUCAACUUUUUUUUUAAAGAAUACUGUGUUCUCUGGCUGUGUUUCAUCUGGGUCACUCUGGAUUUUUUUCGAUAUAGUGCUCAAGUGUGUCGUGAAAUAUGCGAUCAUAUGAAGAUUAAGUUAUUCAGGAUACCAUGCAACUACCAUACGGGCACUAUACAGGUCAACGCUGCCGAGAAAAAUGGUACUAAUAGGUCACAACGUAACAGAUUGCAUAAAAAACAUCACUAAGGUCGACUAGUGAUAAUGAAUGCUCUGUAUGAUUCGUGUAUAAAGAAAUCGCGAUGUGUAACAAAACUUAAGAACUUAGAAAGCUAACACUUGUGAUUAAAGUCUUAGUUGAAUUGAUUAGCGAUUAUUACGGAUUUUUAAUAAAACGUACUAUGCAUCAAAGUAAUAAAGUGCUACCGCGACGUAUAAUAAAAAUGGCACUUGUUCCAUACUUAAAAGAAAAAAAAAUGAUAAAAAUUAUAAUCUAGAAUGUUGAAGAAGAAAAGAAGAGACCUCUAUAUAUACAUAUUUAUUUAUCAAAUUUAUAACAUCAUUCUGUAGACUUUAUAAAGUCUGUAUGAAAAUGUGACGAAUUUGAUAUGAAUAUGCAUUAAAUUUUUAAAUAUCGAUCUCGAUAUAUCUCAUUGCCGUAGGAUGUUUAUUAUAAUAGAAAUUAUACAUCAAAUGUACAAGAUCAAAAAUCUCUUUAUCAUAAAGGAGUAAGUUUUUAGAAAAUUAAUAUCUGAAAUUCGUUUCUAGUACUAAAUUAAUGAGUUAUGUUUUUAAAUAUGAUUAUACAUAUUUUUUCAUAAUUUAGUAACAAUUUGCCAAUAAUAUUUUUCGACAAAGAUCUGAACAUUUUUAAAUAAUUUUUUUCAAAAAUUUCAAUUUAUAAGUUGAUAUAUAUUAUUUAUAUAUCAAAUUUAUUAAAAUUUAUAAAGCAUAUAAAAAGAAUUUGUUUUAAGUGUUAUGUUUAUUGAGUAUAACAAACUGUAUGAAUUUUAUUUUGAAAUGUAUAGUUUUCGAUCGUAUGGAAUGCGUCAUGAACGUUUUCUAUUUCUGCUUUUAUGCGUGUGCCCGUAUAUUUGAUAACCAGGAACGUUUUUAACGAAGAUACUAUAAAUAUUAUAUGAGACAUGUUAAGACGUAAAGAGACUAAAGACAGUUUCGGGUUUGCACUAGAUACAUUUGUCUACGUCAAUAGAUAUAUGACAAUAGAUACACUUAAGACGAAUGAUUUUAUUAAGAGAAUCUACAUAAGUAUCAUAUAUAUUCUGUGAGAAGCGUAUUUUAAAUAUACUUCUACGUAUUUUAAUGAAACGUUACAAGCAAAUGGCAGAUACAUGCUUAAUUCUUAUUUGUGUAUUAUAUUAUACGUAUAAUUUUGUUAGUUUAAUAUUCCUCCUUGAUAAAUAAUAAUAAUUUUUAUAAUAAUUGAAUUGGAUGUAAAACAGUGAUGUAUGAUAGGGAGUGUGUUAAUGUUCAUAACUUUUCUAUUGUACUACAUAUUCUUGAGAAAAUGUUCUAGGAAAAUAAUAUAUAUAACAAAAGGAAUGUUUUUUAUAUUGACAAGAUAUCUAAAUGCGAUAGCUUUUCUUUAAAAUGUAUUAUUGAAUUUUUUUCUCAUUUCUAUCGUGUAUUAAUAAUUCCAAAAUGAAUUGAAAGGAAUUGAUAACAUUAUUGCUUAUAAAUAGAUGAAGUAAAACGAGUGGUCUAAUUGUGUUUCUUUGAAAAUAGUGCUGGAUAUGUACACGAUACACUGAAUGAAAUGUAAUUUUAUUGUAUUAUAUUUCAAAUUUUCUUUCAAAGUUGUAUUAUAUCUUUUGGAUAAAUAAGGUUAUCAUGAAGUAUCAGUUUUCAUUCUAAUUUAACCGAUCUUGUCAGAGCUUUUUUCAUAAAAAUUAACUUGUUUAUGUCAUUCAGUAAAUCUAACAUUAGUUAUGUGCUGUUCGUUAUCUUGUGAUAUCUAAUAAAAAUUGUUAAUUGUAAAAAAAAACAAAUAGAUUUAUCAGACGGAAAUGUACCGACAGUAAGAAAUUUUUACAUUGUGGUGCAUUUUAUUUUCUAAAGCGAAAGACAGUUAAUAAAAAAAUUAUUUAGAAUUACGCGAACGAUAUGCAUGUUUGUGCUUUAAUUUAGCAUUGCUUAACUUAAAAUGUGACAUGGAAAGGUAAUAUAAUCGUUAUUGUAUGUGAGGGCGAGAAGAAAUUUGUGUUAAGAUUAAUAUUAACGUGUUUUAUAUAUAGUGAAAAUGCAUCCUUGUAUGUACUAACAAACUUCUUAUGUAUGUCAAUAUCACUCGUAUUAUACGUAUUUUAUGCAUGUUACGAACUGCAAAUUUUAGUUUUUUUUGGAUUACCAUCUGCAUGUGCUAAUUGGCCUCUGUACUUAUCUCAAGAUAAGCUUUAAUUUAACCAUACAUUUGUAGAAUAAAAUUAGUGUACAAAUUGCUACGUUUAAGUAGAUUAAUCCUUGUUUGGUAAGGAAAAAA